AGCACAGCCUGAGCUUGGCUCAUGUCAUUUAUGUGAGGAAAAGGAGGAAAACAAGCCCAGAACUGUCUCCCUCAGCACCACUCACUGCCUUUCCCUGGACGACACAUGGCACAUGUCUCUUGGAGGUGUGAGUUGAACACGAGCAAGCUUUUAAAUACUGUCCUGGUGACAGGAGCCUUUCCAGAUGAUGAGGAGGAUGUGUUUGUGGGUGCCAUGAGGUUCAAGACUUGCAAGGCUCUGCAGGAACCAAGAUAACAGCGAAAAACAGGCUAGAAGAGAUGACCUUCUCUGCAGACUGCAGCAGCACUGAACACAACCCAUUAAAAAUCAGCUCCAAACACGGGGGAAAAAAACCAGCAACAAACA